AUACGGAGGAUCCGAGCGUUAUCCGGAUUUAUUGGGUUUAAAGGGUGCGCAGGCGGCCAUUUAAGUCAGCGGUUAAAUCGUGGGGCUCAACCCCAUUCUGCCGUUGAUACUGGGUGGCUUGAUUGCGGUCGAGGUUGGCGGAAUUCGUUAUGUAGCGGUGAAAUGCAUAGAUAUGACGAAGAACACCGAUUGCGUAGGCAGCUGACCAGAUCGCAAAUGACGCUCAUGCACGAAAGUGCGGGGAUCGAACAGGAUUAGAUACCCUGGUAGUCCGCACAGUAAACGAUGAAUACUUGUUUUCGGCGAUAUAAUGUCGGAGGCAAAGCGAAAGCGAUAAGUAUUCCACCUGGGGAGUACGCCGGCAACGGUGAAACUCAAAUGAAUUGACGGGG
rnacentral:rRNA from 1 species